GGGGAUUUAGCUCAGCGGCAUAAGCCCCUGCCUUGCAAGCAGGCAGUUGGUGUUUAAUCCCUG
rnacentral:tRNA from 1 species